UUUGAAAAAGCAAUACCAGUCCUGUAAAGGUGUUGAGGAUGCUAAAAUGUUUCAUUUAAUUUCUUCAUUCUGGAGCAAGUGUACAAGAGCCAUUUCACCAAAUUGUAGCCAUUCACUUUUUUGUAACUCUCAAAAUACGAAAGUCUGUCUUAUUUUAACUCCUAAGGUGCAUUCACACUCGCACGACAAUGAUUACAUAUAAAGUCAAUGCAAAUGCGAGAAUAGGCGCCAAUUCGUGCCGGGCGAGGAGAAAGAUGCGUUUGACGCGACACAAGUCGGGCAUACACGUGAAAAUUCCCUUCUUCACCGAUUUGGUCCAGUUGAAAAAUUUCAAUUUGAGCCAUACAUUUUCGUGACGCUCCGUCCCGACAGCCAGUCAGCGUCAAGAAGAUUCUGCGUCACACACAACGUCCUAGAAUCGUUGAACAGAACAACGGAGGAUGAAAUUAUCAUUGGUGUUUGUGGGCACUCGGAACCUUUUGCUAACUCCUGCUAUCCAUACCGGGACUUUACGAAAAAAAGAGGAGGCCCGGAGAAUGGAAUCGCCAGAACCUGUUUCGUGUUCAGCCUUCGUAUCAAACGCAUAGUCUAUCCAGAGUGGACCAGCAGAGCCCUCAUAAGCAGAACCGUCCUCAGGCUGUAAAACCUCAGCGGACUCCCUUAUCCUUACUGGACCCUCUUCCUUCACCGGCUGGGCCUCACUGGGAUAAACAAAGACAGUCAAAUAUCAGACAUUAAAGAGAUCACAUGUCCUUUUUAGAGUACUUUGUCAAUUAUAGGGAGCUAACUAUAAUUGCAUUGUAAUCUCAUUGACCACCGACUCCGCCUCUUGGGUGGGUGGGGUGGGGUCGUUGGUCCCCACGGUGCGGGCGCAGCAAUUACAGGUCACUUCUGAAGGUUAUUGUGCAUGCGAGACGGUAUCAAUCCACUUGCAUGUGCUCGCAGAUACUCACCUCUGGGACUUAUUCGCUGGGUGUGGGGCCACUCACUCAUUGCGAUAAAUAACUCAUAACUAUGCAAACUUCCUGGGUAACCCCUCACUUGCACUCUGUUUCUAAAGAUGUUUAGAAUUUACAUAGCCACUCCAAUCACCUGUACGGCCGGGUCCACGACCCCUGUCCUGCAUGCUUCCCCUCCUGUCCUUGUCCUGUCCAAUCAUUUCCUAUAUUGUCCUGUCCUUCCUUCACAGGGUGUAGCACUACUGCUCCAUACAACACUUGAACGUCAUGUGUCAUUGUACUAGGCAUAUAAUAAUUUAUUUUGCUUAUCUUUCUAGCUAGUGUCCUGUCUUUUUUUUUCUUCUCUUCCUACUGUUUUAUUUAGUUAUUUUUUUCACUGUCUCUCCCUUUUGUUUUCUUCUGUCACUCCCCUAACUUUGUUCUGUCUGACUGAAAAUGUCAGUAAAUAUUCAUCAGAAUACCUUAAAAAAACACAGUAGCAGCUUAAAAACUCCACUGUGACACAGUAAAACUGUUCUGCUUGACCUAACAGCCGAAAAGGACCCCCCCAAAAAGGGGGGGGGGGGGCGUGGCGUGCCAAAAAGGUGUUAUGUUUAACAGAAAGAUCCACGAUAUAGCGGAACCACGAUUAAGUGGUGGACUCCUGACUGGGCAAACUGAAGUGCAGAAAUGAAUAGAAAAAAAUGCCAAUUUUUCUCAUAAAUACUGGUCAAAGUCGUGGUUUAGUUACAAUAAUGGGAUAAACAUGCAUACAUUCGGGAGCUGCAAAUGUGUCAUAUUGAAAUAUAAUUUUUUUUUUUAUAUAUAAACUUGGCUAGGGUCAGCCUUGUCCUUAUUCUAUUAUAGUUGUUUUAAAGGCAUAAUUAGAAAUAUCUCAUUGCAAGUGGUCAUUUGUGUAUAUUCUUGUUAUUCAUGUCUUUGUCCUCAUUCAUAGACUUUUAACUACCAUGCUGUCAAUCUACUCUUUUGUUCUUUACAAGAUGUUUAAUCAAACUCCAUUUGCUCGAGUCUGCCGCAUACACUCAUAUUAAACAAUAGACCAGAAGCAGCAGCCCACCAUGCGUCACAGUCCACUUCCUGUCGACGCUUCCCUUUGGUUUCCUGUUCAGGGCGAGCUGACAAAUGUGAGCUCUGCUGAUUUGUGUUUAGAAAAAGCCCCCAGCAUGCCAUAUAAGAGAACUGCUGGGGCCACCGGCAUUUGGUAGAAAACUAUCUUGACCUCUACACACCAGGUCACAAACUUCACCAAAUAACUAGCCUCUAAAUAGACCCUGUACAAUAAAAAAAUAUAUUUUACAUGUUAGUUUUGUGUACGUGCUUUGUGAUUUCAGCAUAGGAGCAGCUCGAUGAAAUGUGAUUUGAUAUGUUCAUGUCAUAUUUUCCCUCUUGAGGUGAUUAACGGAUGCUAUCUGCAUCAUUUCAGAAGAACCCGAAAGAGGAACUGAGAGAAAUAAACACAGACCCAGUAGACACACAUAUACACACACAAUGAAACCUCAGGUUUUGCACAAAUACCACAUGAAACACACACUUAAAAGCACAAUUUUGUGGCUAAUUCAGCUUUUUUCAUGUGACAAAAACCCACAAAAUGUAGACUUAUUGCAAUGAGUGCAAAAAAAAACACCCACUUGUCGCUUAACUACACACAGUGGUAAGUGUCCUGAGAUAUGAGUUUAAUUUGUUCUGUGACAACGCUCGUCUCUCAAAACACUCAAAUCAUCUUUCACCACUGAAAUGAAUGGAAAUGCCAUUAAACUGUUCCAGCCUCUCCCCCCACCCAAAAAAAAAUAAUAAUGUUGUAAUGUGUUUUUGAUAAGGAAAGUAGCACUCUAUGUCGUUGUACUUUAUAUAACGUAAAGUAGUAACAUAAUUAAAUAGAAUGUAAAUAUUUAAACAGUUUUCACAUCAUGAUUAAUUCACUGCAACUCUUUCUGGUGUCUGACAUGGCCACUGGGGGCAGUAUAAUAAAGUCAUGAUGACACAAACGAAGAAGACUUUUACAACUACUGUAAGUGACUCAGUAAACCGCAGUAAUAGAAUUUUUUCACAGAUGAAAAGAAUACAUGCCUGUGAGUAUUGUCAUAUUAUCGGCCUAAGUGUUGCUCCAUUGUUUGUGUGCAAAUAGUUGUGCUUAAAGGGUUAUAACAUCGUGACUAUGGAUGCUAUUUGUUAGCCUGUCAAUGGUGUUUUGCCUUGUGUGUCAGCAUUAAGCCUGCGGAACGCAGCAGUUGUUAAAUAAAUAAACAGCCUAUAAUUCUGUUUUAUGUUUAGUUUGACAGUAAACAUCAACUCGGAGUGGCAUUGAACAUCUUGACGCUAAUUGUUCACUACCUGCCUAAGUGCUGCUUGUUGUGAAGUGAGUUGAGUUCUCUGCCACCAUGCAGCGUAUUGUAUCUCACGUUUUUACUCGCAAGUCGUAGCAAAAAAUUUGCCCGAACAACAGCUCAUAGCUUAAAAAAAAAACUUGUAAGUCGGCUGAAUCGUAGCGCAUAUUAUUUCUAUGAUGCUAAAAACCACAAACAUGUAUUUUCACUGCCCGUGUUUAACCUGUCCAAAUCAAUAGAAUCAAUAUGUUUGAUUGUUUUGCUUCAAUUUUGCUACACAGUAUGCUAAACUCCGUGGAAUCCAACACGAGCUGUAUCAUGUAUAUGCCCUUCAUAUGCCCGCAGACACUCUUCACAACCUCAGGGCAUGCUCCUGAAGUGGUGCAGAAUUUUUGACUGCUACACCACCACAAAUUACAAUAAUGAACAAAUUGUUAAAUAAAUACCUCUCUGACUAAAUAAUACUUACAGGUAUUGUACACUCGAAGGAGGCAGUUUGGUCGGCAGGUCUGGACUCCACUCCAUCUGUGGACUUUGUUGAGUCGCACAGUUGGCACGGUCGCCCUCAGGCCGACACUUGACAAAGUUAUAUACGGCAGUUCUGGGCGCUCCUAAUACAAAAAAAGGAUCAUAUGUCUCAAUAUUAUUUAAUUUAAUGCGACAAGUGGAAUGGUUCAGGAGAUUACAACAUGAUUCUGCAACUGGCUAACGUAACGUCAGCUCGCUGGUGGAGGAAGUUAUGGCGACAUGGCAUUUUCUCAAUUCAUUUGAGCUCAUCAGUAAUGUACAUUAACAUGUAAAUCUUAUUUAUCAAUUAAAAGCAUCGUCACUCUUCACACAAAAGAGUAAGGUUACCACUAUUUCUGACUGUAUUAUCUGGAAAAUGUGGGCGUUGGAAUAUUUUGUGUUCACACCCAUUGACAGUUGAAGCCAAAAACAUAACAUGAUGACAUGAUCGUGUAUCUACUGAGGAUGAUAUGCCACAUGUCAAGAAUGACAAAUUUAUGUUGGAAGACCCACAAUAAGAAGUUAAACGUUUUAUCACCUAAGUGCAGUCCUGUAUCUUCGAUUACAUAUAUUGUAGUUCCUCACCGGGAGCUAAACUUAAUAAAAUACAUGCUAUAUUUCCAAUUCAUACAUAAACUGAAUGAUAAAGGACACAACAGACAUGAAUUACUAUAGAGAUUAAUCAAAAACUUUAAAGAGAUUAUAGCGCCAAGUUAAAAUUGAUGAGGCUGAUCCAGUGGAGGGGGGGAAUCAUUAAAUCUAUAUACCUGAACAAGACAACAUGAACAAAAUAUCACAUACACAAUCACACACAACUACAAUCAGCAUGCAGGUAGCCCAUUUGACAAUUAAUGUAUUGUAUAGUUAUCAUUAAAUGAACUAUAUGCAAUACAAAAACCUAUUAAGAAUUAAUAAAAGGUAAUAUGGAUUUUGGAAGGGAACCUUUCAAAAAAAAGUGAUACACAAAUAUAUGGCUUUUAAUACUGCUUGGGCAAUAGGUUUCUGUAGACAGGAAAACAUUAUACAUUUGUCAAAUGUAUCUUUUUAGGGUAUCUGAAACAUAGUGAAUAUGUUUGGAAACUUUUUAACCUUUUUUUAUCUUUUUAUAUUGCAAAUCAUAUCGUCUGUAUGGAACCUUAUGGUUCACCCUCUUUUAAGGGAGGUGAAUCAAAUGAAGGAAUCAAGAAUUUCAUUUUGGAUAUUUUCUUCAGCUCUAUCAACUUUCCUUCUAUCCCAAAUUGUUACCUUUACGCUCUCAAAAAGCACAUUAUUGUACCUUAUGGGCUACGAUGGCUGUUUACUGGGCCGCUGCUUUUUGUACCCUGAACUCUUGACACCUUUAGGAACAUAACUGUCGCCAUUUGGAUUCAAAUUAUUAAUCCAAUACAUUCAUGUUUUGUGCAUUUUGGGACACAAAUUGGCUACAACUGUACCCUUGCGAGUGAAAAAUGGCAUUUGUGUUCACUGUGAAACUGAAAAAAACCCAACUAAUUUCUAUGAUUUGUCAUCUUUUGAGUUGUCUGUUAUUUAUUUAUUUUGUUUGUUUGUUUGAAUGACAGUUGCUCGUGUUAACAUGCCAGCCACAGACGCUCACAAGAGAACCCUGGCCAGUACCAGGAAAUUGCCUGUUAAUAUGAAAUACGUUUCUGUCAAAAUAAUAGCAUUCACAGUCAUGUUACCAUCAGUAGUAAUUCCUAAUUACCUUCAGCGUGUAAGGCGACGAGGCAGCAGGCCGCGAUGAAGAAGGUCCAAGCCAUUCUUAGCUUAAGGCCACAACAAUAAAAGAGAACAAAAACACUUCUUUCCAGAGCUGAAGACUGAGUGCAAAUGCCUGACACAUCACACUCAUAUACAUACAUACACACACUCCCCAGACUGAGCUCAGCCCUCUGCCUGCGUCACGGUUUCCUGAAGUAUUCGUGUGUUAAAAAAAAAAAAAAAAAAAAAAAGUCAGUGAGCAUCCUCAGUGGAAACUUUUACUUUCUCAAAUCAAGAAGAUCUUAUGUUUAUCUGACUGCAUGAAAGGAAAUACCACCAGACUGAAUCUGGCUAGCUAGUCUCAAGUGAAACAUCCAUCCAUCCAUCCAUCCAUUUUCAACACCGCUUAUCCCGGUUAGGGUCACGGGGCGCUGGACCCUAUCCCAGCUGACUUCGACUUCGGGCGAAAGGCGGACUACACCCUGAACUGGCCGCCAGUCAGUCACAGGGCACAGUUUAGAUCAAUUUGCAUGGUUCCUUGCGUCCUGCAGUGGCCACCUCUUCCUCUUCCUCUUCCCGUGCGGGCUCUGGGGCCUGCUGUGGAGUUUUUGUCCCCGCCUGGUUUUUGGUCACCUCCCACACUCGGGGUCAUUAUAAAAUAAAAUUGGAAAUUCUGAGUUAAGCAGCCACUGAUGAUGUAAUAGUUCACUCGCCUAACUUCAGUGCAGUCACCAUGAGUUCAUUUUCCACUCAGUAACAGUGUGAAAGGACGUGUCCGUCUCUAUAUGUGCAAUGUGAUUGACUGUUGACGAGUCCAGAUUGUGAUCACCUGAAGUCAACUGGGAUAGGUUCCAGCUCCGUGCAGCGCUGAACGGGGCUAGCGAUUGAGUCAAAAGUGUCCUCAGAGCCAAAGAGCAGAGCACUCUUCCUGCCCUUUUCUUCUUCCUCCACCUCAAGCCUCCUCUUCCUCUUCAACUCCUCCUGAAGAUCAGUAUCAAGCUCCCCGAUGUUGUCCU